UUGAACGCUGGCGGCAGGCCUAACACAUGCAAGUCGAACGGUAACAGAAAGCAGCUUGCUGCUUUGCUGACGAGUGGCGGACGGGUGAGUAAUGUCUGGGAAACUGCCCGAUGGAGGGGGAUAACUACUGGAAACGGUAGCUAAUACCGCAUAACGUCGCAAGACCAAAGAGGGGGACCUUCGGGCCUCUUGCCAUCGGAUGUGCCCAGAUGGGAUUAGCUAGUAGGUGGGGUAAAGGCUCACCUAGGCGACGAUCCCUAGCUGGUCUGAGAGGAUGACCAGCCACACUGGAACUGAGACACGGUCCAGACUCCUACGGGAGGCAGCAGUGGGGAAUAUUGCACAAUGGGCGCAAGCCUGAUGCAGCCAUGCCGCGUGUAUGAAGAAGGCCUUCGGGUUGUAAAGUACUUUCAGCGGGGAGGAAGGGAGUAAAGUUAAUACCUUUGCUCAUUGACGUUACCCGCAGAAGAAGCACCGGCUAACUCCGUGCCAGCAGCCGUGGUAAUACGGAGGGUGCAAGCGUUAAUCGGAAUUACUGGGCGUAAAGCGCACGCAGGCGGUUUGUUAAGUCAGAUGUGAAAUCCCCGGGCUCAACCUGGGAACUGCAUCUGAUACUGGCAAGCUUGAGUCUCGUAGAGGGGGGUAGAAUUCCAGGUGUAGCGGUGAAAUGCGUAGAGAUCUGGAGGAAUACCGGUGGCGAAGGCGGCCCCCUGGACGAAGACUGACGCUCAGGUGCGAAAGCGUGGGGAGCAAACAGGAUUAGAUACCCUGGUAGUCCACGCCGUAAACGAUGUCGACUUGGAGGUUGUGCCCUUGAGGCGUGGCUUCCGGAGCUAACGCGUUAAGUCGACCGCCUGGGGAGUACGGCCGCAAGGUUAAAACUCAAAUGAAUUGACGGGGGCCCGCACAAGCGGUGGAGCAUGUGGUUUAAUUCGAUGCAACGCGAAGAACCUUACCUGGUCUUGACAUCCACGGAAGUUUUCAGAGAUGAGAAUGUGCCUUCGGGAACCGUGAGACAGGUGCUGCAUGGCUGUCGUCAGCUCGUGUUGUGAAAUGUUGGGUUAAGUCCCGCAACGAGCGCAACCCUUAUCCUUUGUUGCCAGCGGUCCGGCCGGGAACUCAAAGGAGACUGCCAGUGAUAAACUGGAGGAAGGUGGGGAUGACGUCAAGUCAUCAUGGCCCUUACGACCAGGGCUACACACGUGCUACAAUGGCGCAUACAAAGAGAAGCGACCUCGCGAGAGCAAGCGGACCUCAUAAAGUGCGUCGUAGUCCGGAUUGGAGUCUGCAACUCGACUCCAUGAAGUCGGAAUCGCUAGUAAUCGUGGAUCAGAAUGCCACGGUGAAUACGUUCCCGGGCCUUGUACACACCGCCCGUCACACCAUGGGAGUGGGUUGCAAAAGAAGUAGGUAGCUUAACCUUCGGGAGGGCGCUUACCACUUUGUGAUUCAUGACUGGGGUG
rnacentral:rRNA from 1 species